rnacentral:rRNA from 1 species
GACGAACGCUGGCGGCGUGCUUAACACAUGCAAGUCGAGCGAUGAAGCUCCUUCGGGAGCGGAUUAGCGGCGGACGGGUGAGUAACACGUGGGUAACCUGCCUCAUAGAGGGGAAUAGCCUUCCGAAAGGAAGAUUAAUACCGCAUAAGAUUGUAGCUUCGCAUGAAGUAGCAAUUAAAGGAGUAAUCCGCUAUGAGAUGGACCCGCGUCGCAUUAGCUAGUUGGUGAGGUAACGGCUCACCAAGGCGACGAUGCGUAGCCGACCUGAGAGGGUGAGCGGCCACAGUGGGACUGGGACACGGCCCAGACUCCUACGGGAGGCAGCAGUGGGGAAUAUUGCACAAUGGGGGAAACCCUGAUGCAGCAACGCCGCGUGAGUGAUGACGGUCUUCGGAUUGUAAAACUCUGUCUUCAGGGACGAUAAUGACGGUACCUGAGGAGGAAGCCACGGCUAACUACGUGCCAGCAGCCGCGGUAA